rnacentral:rRNA from 1 species
GAUGAACGCUGGCGGCGUGCCUAAUACAUGCAAGUCGAGCGAACGGACGAGAAGCUUGCUUUUCUGAUGUUAGCGGCGGACGGGUGAGUAACACGUGGAUAACCUACCUAUAAGACUGGGAUAACUUCGGGAAACCGGAGCUAAUACCGGAUAAUAUUUUGAACCGCAUGGUUCAUAAGUGAAAGACGGUCUUGCUGUCACUUAUAGAUGGAUCCGCGCUGCAUUAGCUAGUUGGUAAGGUAACGGCUUACCAAGGCAACGAUGCAUAGCCGACCUGAGAGGGUGAUCGGCCACACUGGAACUGAGACACGGUCCAGACUCCUACGGGAGGCAGCAGUAGGGAAUCUUCCGCAAUGGGCGAAAGCCUGACGGAGCAACGCCGCGUGAGUGAUGAAGGUCUUCGGAUCGUAAAACUCUGUUAUUAGGGAAGAACAUAUGUGUAAGUAACUAUGCACAUCUUGACGGUACCUAAUCAGAAAGCCACGGCUAACUACGUG